rnacentral:lncRNA from 1 species
CCGCUUCCGCCUGGCGUAGGAGCUGAGGCAUGGCCUUGUUCUCCAGCUGAGAGGACGAUCGUCCUUAUAGGAGAGGCCGAGUCUCCGAGGGCAAUUUCAGAGGUCUGGUGCGAGGUGGGGGAAGCGGCGCGGCGUCGAUGACGACUUCCUUACAUCGCCCCCGACCCCCGCGUUCUCUUGUUAACUUCUGUGCAUUGUUGCCUGUCUGCACUUUCCGUCUCCAAAACCUUUGCUCUCCUCACCCCGUUUUCCCUUGUAAUUAUACCCCAGCGAUCACUAGUCUGGGUUCGAAGUGAUUGUGUGUCUCCAUAAUUGACCUGGUUGCCCCCGGUUAUCCCAGAAGUCAAAGAUGACAGAGAAAAAAAGGAAGAGCGAGGGGCUUAUCUCGUGUUCUCUACGUCAGACUCCUCUUCCCCUGUCCUUCCUGGGUGAUCUUUAUCCUUCCCAGCACUGUUCUUUCUUAAGUUAAGCACCAAGGAAGAGGGCAACUGCUUGGGCGCUGUUGGCACUCCGAAGCAGCCGCAGUGGUUCGAGAUUGCCAGUCGGACUAGCCAAGGGAGCUGCUGAGUGAGUGGUUUUCGAGAACGCUCUAGAUUCUGGCAACAGUUAGGCCAGAUUAUUGGAAGUGGGGUUGGAACAGAGUUGUGGGUAGUCAUACUUGUUCUAAUCCUAAAGCAGAAUUGACAAGAAGGUUCUAGAAGUUUGGAGCCCUUUCCUUAUCAGCUGCGGGUUAGUCUGACCCUUUUGUUCAAGAUAUCUACAGUGCCCUCAGUCUCUUUGCAACAUACUUUAUAUCUUCAUACCAAGCCCGUUGUGUCUUCAGGCUGGGUAAUUUGAGGCGGUGAUGUAGAAUUAGUUCAUGAGAUCUGAAAUCAGGAUUCUGAGAUUUUUACUAUCUAAUGAGUUCGAAAUAUAAGAAGUACUCGGACGCAAUGAAUAGUUAUCAAGCUUGAGGGUGGUUACCACAGCCAGAUCUCAAGUUCCUGAUCUGCUGGGAGCUGAGGGGCCUGACAAAGUGUAAUAGGCCCCUGGGAUAUCAGAGAAGCCAGGACACCAGAGUCCAGUCUCUGUUCUUAAUUUUGAGCUUUCAUGUUGUUCCUACUUCUUCCUAGAUAUUUAAAGCUAAGCAUCAUCAACCCUUAUACAUCAUUAAAGAGCUGCACAAUGGGAAACAAAAUUCCUCCCAGUGCAGACGGAGCUUAAAUUAAUUGUAGAGAUUUACUUGUAUUUGGAAAGAGUUCAGUGGUUCUUUAUACUGUAAAUAGGGAUUUGGCCACAGGUUAUUUAUUUUUUAUUUUUUGAGACGGAAUCUCGCUCUGUCGCCCAGGCUGGAGUGUAGUGGCGCGACCUCAGCUCACUGCAAGCUCCGCCUCCUGAGUUCACACCAUUCUCCUGCCUCAGCCUCACCAGUUGCUGGGACUACACGUGCCCACCACCACAUCCGGCUAAUUGUUGUUUUUUUUUUGUAUUUUUAGUAGAGAUGGGGUUUCACCCUGUUAGCCACGAUGGUCUCGAUCUCCUGACCUCGUGAUCCGCCCACCUCGGCCUCCCAAAGUGCUGGGAUUACAGGCGUGAGCUACUGUGCCGGGCUGGCCAUAGGUAAUUUUAAAAACUCACCCUACUCAUUGUAAAUCUCUGAUGUAGAGUGUCCCUAUUUUGGACUUCAUUUCAUAGCCUCCUAUCUUAAGCAAAUACAUUUCUUCAAUCACAGCCUUAGAGGAUAGUCUAUCAUAAAAUUGGAGUAAAUGAACCUGAAGACAUAUAAUAAAAUAGGUUAUGCUGUAAUGUGACCACAUCACACAAAACAUGGUAUUUGAUAGCAGUACAACAAAAUAAGGUAAACUACCUUAUUUCAUGGAAUUUAAGUGUCAUUAGGCUGGGUGCAGUAGCUCACACCUGUAAUCCCAGCACUUUGGGAGGCCGAGGCAGGUGGGUCAGCUGAGGUCGGGAGUUUGAAACCAGCAUGGCCAACAUGGCAGAACCCUGUCUCUACUAAAAAUACAAAAAUUAGCGGGGCGUGGUGGCACACACAUGUAAUCCCAGUUACACGGGAGGCUGAGGCAGGAGAAUCGCUUGAACUCAGGAGGUGGAGGUUGCAGUGAGCUGAGAUCGGGCCAUUGCACUCCAGCCUGGGUGACAAAGUGAGAUUCCAUCUCAAAAAAAAGUCAUUGAUUGCAGAAUGCAAAUUAUUUUAUCUGUCACUAAGAAAAUGUAACUGUAAAUUAAACAUGACAACAUGCAUUAUUCCUGUAGUUCAAAUAGUGACAGAAAAAAAUUAAUUAAAAAAAGAAAAAAGACUGGGCGUGGUGGCUCACACCUGUAAUCCCAGCACUUUGGGAGGCCAAGGCGGGUGGAUUACCUGAGGUCAGGAGUUCGAAACCAGCCUGACUAAUACGGUGAAACCCCAUCUACUAAAAAUACAAAAAUUAGCCAGGUGGGGUGAUGCUGUAAUCCCAGCUAGUCAGGAGGCUGAGGCAGAGGUUGUGGUGAGGGGAGAUCAUGCCAUUGCACUCCAGCCUGGGCAACAAGAGCAAAACUCCGUCUCAAAAAAAAAAAAAUCAAUU